rnacentral:rRNA from 1 species
GACGAACGCUGGCGGCGUGCUUAACACAUGCAAGUCGAACGGAAAGGCCCCUUUGUUGUUACUCGAGUGGCUAACGGGUGGGUAACACGUGAGUAACCUGCCCUUCACUUCCGGAGAACUACAGGAAACUGACGCUAAUACAGACUAGGAAUCCUUUCUGCAUGGUGGGGGUUGGAAAGCUUCGGCGGGUUUGGAUGGACGCGCGGGCUAUCUGCUUGUUUGUGGGGUAGGGGGUUACCUACGGUUUGUCGGGUAGGCGGCCUGCGUGGGGGACCGGCCACAUUGGGACUGGGGUACGGCCCAAGCUCCUACGGGGGGGAACAGGGGGGAAUAUUGCACAAUGGGCGGAAGCCCGAUGCAGGAACGCCGCGGGCGGGAUGACGGCCUUCGGGGUGGAAACCGGUUUCCGCAGGGGCGAAGCUUGUGGUGACGGUACCUGGAGAAGAAGCACCGGCUAACUACGUG